rnacentral:tRNA from 1 species
GGUCGCGUGGUCUAAAGGCAUGAUCUCUGGCUGUCUACCAGAGGGUCCGGGAUCGGGGCCCGGCGCGACCGCCA